rnacentral:rRNA from 1 species
AUUGAACGCUGGCGGCAGGCCUAACACAUGCAAGUCGAGCGGAUGAAGGGAGCUUGCUCCUGGAUUCAGCGGCGGACGGGUGAGUAAUGCCUAGGAAUCUGCCUGGUGGUGGGGGAUAACGUCCGGAAACGGGCGCUAAUACCGCAUACGUCCUGAGGGAGAAAGUGGGGGAUCUUCGGACCUCACGCUAUCAGAUGAGCCUAGGUCGGAUUAGCUAGUUGGUGGGGCAAAGGCCUACCAAGGCGACGAUCCGUAACUGGUCUGAGAGGAUGAUCAGUCACACUGGAACUGAGACACGGUCCAGACUCCUACGGGAGGCAGCAGUGGGGAAUAUUGGACAAUGGGCGAAAGCCUGAUCCAGCCAUGCCGCGUGUGUGAAGAAGGUCUUCGGAUUGUAAAGCACUUUAAGUUGGGAGGAAGGGCAGUAAGUUAAUACCUUGCUGUUUUGACGUUACCAACAGAAUAAGCACCGGCUAACUUCGUG